UGCCGUGAAAAAGAAGUUGAAAGACAAACUAGAUGAGUUUCAGAUUCUUAGGGAGAGAAUCCAGAAAGAGUAUCGGGAGGUUGUUGAGCGACGUAUUUUCACAGUGAUGGGCACAAGACCAGAUGAAGAGACAAUUGAAAGAUUGAUUGCAACUGGAGAUAGCGAACAAAUAUUCGAGAAAGCAAUUCAGGAGCAGGGACGGGGCCAGGUUUGACUUAAUUUUCUUUAUUUCUUCCUUUAUACUAAUAGUAGAUAA